UGGAGAUGAAGGGGUGGGUCUAUGGUACAUCACCUGAGUUGUGGGGUAAAUGUAGAGAGUGUCAAUCAAAGGCAGAGCUCUCAGAGCUGGGAAGGAGGCUCUAGAUGGCGGCUGUGCCUUAGAGAGAGCGCGCUCUGCUCCCUGCCUUCGCCUCACUUUACGCAACUUUCCCUAACUUUCGGGCAGCCUCAGGGGGCCCCCGCAGCCCCCUGCCUCUCCUAGUGGCUUACUGGGGUCGAUUUGAACCUUUUUAAGGGAGAAAAGCAGCUUUUAGGACCUUCCUUUUCGUGCCUUGUUGGAAAGAAGCAGCCGUACUGAGAGCCCAGGUCGUUGUUUUUUCCAGCUUAGAAGCCAUGGCGCACCUCCAUUUUUGUGCGCUCUCCUAAUGAGGUUUUUUUUUCUUCCGGACCCGUUUUAGUAUUAAUUGUUGCUUUAUUUUUUUGACCAGUUAACAUACUGGAGGAUUAUUGUAUUUAUUUUUCGUUUUUGUAACGGAGAAUUUUGUUUUUAUUUUUAAUUAUUUGGGAUCUGAUAUUUUUCUACUACUAGAUAGGACUCCUGCUUUGGACCUACUACAUGGAUCAGUAAAUACCUGGGCACAGGACUUCAAAGCAAACACAGAUUCCCCCUCCCCCUUAUAUUUAAGAAUUAAAAGAUGAUGAGAAAUAAGGACAAAAGCCAAGAGGAGGACAGUUCGCUACACAGCAAUGCAUCGAGGUAUGAGCUAUCAACUUUCUUCCUUUUUUCUUUUUUUUUGGGGGAAACCUCAGCUUACAUUGUUUACCUUGACAGACAGGGAAAACUGUCUGUUUUAUUUUAAGUAUUUUACUAAUUUGGAUUCGUUUUUUAAAGCGUGACCUUGAGAUUGCUAAUAUGCCACACCCUAAUUUUUUGGUAGCAAUUUAUGAAAGUUGAGUUGUGACUUAAGGCCUCUUACAGCAGUCAAAAGGUAAGGUACCUUUAUUCAAAGGGGCCUUUCCUGUAAACUACAGUUUUUCUGUUAAUAAAUUUCAGUUUUUAGGUUUUUGUGCUGUAGAAAAAUGACCUUGUCGGUUUAGCCAUUGCUGCAUUGCACCAUUUUACAUACAAGGCAAAUUUUUUCUUUGAAGAAUCUAGGAUACCCAAACUUGUAACUGAAGGCCAUAGAGGAGCCUUGUGGUAGUAAAUUAUAGUAAAUAGACGUUUGAGAAAGUUAUAUGAAUGAAAAAAUGUACAUUUUAAAAUGAAAUUGCAAAAAGGACCCUUUGACUGAUGCCUCUCAGUUUAUAUUUUUACUUGACUCUAUAUUUCUUUUGUACUCUUGACAUUUUAGGAAAUUUUGAUAAGAUUUAUCAAAACCUUUACUCCAUGGUUACAGUUCCUGCAUUUAUGAAAUCAAACCUGUGAUCACAGCAAUCCUGGAAUACUCUUAAUAUACUUCUCUUUUGUGUUUGUUAAUGUGAUUAUACUUGUAUAUUUUGGAUUUAAAAUAUUUUAAGUUUUGCAUUUAUAUGCUUAUAUUCGGACAGUGCUUUCUGGUUGGUAGAUGUGUAGUAUCUUCUUGCAUUUUAGUUGUAGCUGCUUUAAAUUUAUUGAUUUAUUUUGACAGAGUCGCCUGGAAUGCUUUAUCUUCUGAAGCUUACAAAUAUACUGUUUGUUCAGAUCACGAUUUGUUUCACAUUUGUUGGAGUAUCUUAUUAGUGACUAAGUAAUAAAGCCUCUUAGACGUUUUGUUGUAUGAUCUGUAUAUUAAUUUUUAAAAGUACAUAUGAAUACAUUUCUUGAUGUGUGUUCUUAUAAAUUGUCAUGUUACGAAUUUUAAAUCCUGUAGUUAAGGAUGUGAUUAGUUAUAUGAUUCCCCCCGUUUUGCUUUUACUUUUAUAAUUUUAUAGAAGUAAUAUACUUUUAUAAUAGGUUAGUGAAUUUGAAAGUUUUGAACUGGUUUAUUACAAAUGUUGAAGUUUAUGUUUUAUUAUAGUUAAUAUAUUUUGACCCUUGCUUUUAAAAAUACCUUUCCAAAUUCUUUUGCAAAUUGAGUUGUCAUACAGUUUGGACUGCUGUCUUUUGAACUGAAUUGCCCAUGUAAUUACCUAGGUUUGAUUUAGGACAGAAAACUUCUCCACUAAUCCUAAACUGAUUUUUCUGAAAAGUAACGGCAGUUUGAAGAAAUAGGAAUCCCCAGGUGUAUUUGACAAAUUAUUAAAGAUUCAGUACCUAAAAUUGUUACUCCCUUGAGUGUGUAUGAUUUGCAUGGUCUCACAUAGGUUCUGUCUUUCUUAUGCAAGGUUUGUGGUUAACAUCAUUGAUGAGACUGCCUUCUAACUUCAAAAAUUAAGCACUGUUGCUAUUUUCAAAAUAAUUUACUCACCUAGAAAACUAUUUGGAAGUUGUCAUGCAUUUACCUAUUGGCAGUGGGGUUUACAGCUUAACAAGGAAGCAUGUACUGUACUUUUAAAUGCAUUUUGUCAAGUAGUUUGAUUCACAUACCUGAUGAAUGUUCAAAAAUAUGAGAGACUCCUUGAGAUGGAGUUUUAAAUUAGUUAAUCCGAAAUUGCAUACCUUAAUACAUGUACAUAAUUAUGACAUCAUUUCCUUUUAAAAUUGUAAAGCUUAAUGGGAUGCUGGUGGUGUUUAUUGUGAUAGAUUAAUGUUAUUUUUAGGAAGCCAAGGUUCAGGAGACUGUUGAGGUAUUAGUACUUGGUUCCUUAAUCUAUCAAAAUUUCUUCGUAAGGACCUAGUUUCUAUGGCACAAAGUCUAGUGUUUAGGGGAUACUACAAAAUUCACUUUUGCAGCCUGAGCCACGAGAGAGGAAGGGAGGAGUUUACAGGUCAAGUAAACUCUUUUCUGAGAAUUAGUUUAGGAUCUGAAAGGAUUGAGUGCAAGUUUAGGUAAGCCUGAUACUUCACUGUUUUUGGGAAUAAAGCAAUGACUUUAUAAUUCCAAAAAGUUUGUUAUUGCUGUAUUCUUUUGUUAAUGUUUUUAAAUGUUAUAUGUUGUAUAUCGUGAUUUCUGAAGAUUAAAAAGUUCACUUUCAAAAAUA